CCCGCUGAACUUAAGCAUAUUAUUAAGCGGAGGAAAAGAAACUAACAAGGAUGCCCUCAGUAACGGCGAGUGAAGCGGGCAAAGCUCAACCUGAAAAUCGGGUUCCCAAACGGGUUCUCGAAUUGUGGGCUAGAGACGCUGGAUCAGUGUGUGACCCAGGUAUAACUCUUUUGAAACAAGGGAUCAUAGAGGGUGAGAAUCCCGUCUGUGACCUGGAGUUCGCCGCGUACGAUCCGUGUUCACAGAGUCGAGUUGUUUGGGAUUGCAGCUCUAAAUGGGUGGUAAAUUUCAUCUAAAGCUAAAUAUCGACGAGAGACCGAUAGCGAACAAGUACCGUGAGGGAAAGAUGAAAAGAACUUUGAAAAGAGAGUUAAAAAGUACUUGAAAUUGCUAAGAGAGAAGCACUGGAAACCAGUCGUCGAUUCGCUUGGAUACUUACUAGUAUUACCAUUUUAUGAAUUGUUGUUCCUAGAGCCCAAAGCCUAGGUGCGAUAAUUGUAAUAAUUUGGUUGCUGGGUCCUGUCCUGUGAAUCGGAUCAGAAUCAAUUUAGCUCGUGACAGAAAGCUAUUGCAUCGUUGGGGGUGGAAGGCUUGCUUUCCUAACUCAAAGGCGGUAGUGCUAUCAUGGGUUAGAUUGAGGGACAAUCGAAAUGCGCACCACUAGGUUAUUGGCUCCCAAACCCUAGAGUGCUAGUUUACGUGUACAACAAGUUGUGCUGUUAACGAAACAUUUUACUGGAAUGGAUGAGACCAUGAGCUGCAUUAGAGAUUCUGAUGAAAUGGUUUUCAUUGACCCGUCUUGAAACACGG
rnacentral:rRNA from 1 species